CCAAAGGGUGAAGAGAUUUCCUUGGGUUUGACAGCUUUGCUGCCCUGAUCACUUAGACUACGACUCUGUGUGUUUGUACAGGUAUCCAUCCAUUCAACCAUGGGCGAGAAAGAAAAAGGAGAUGUGAAUUUGCAGGCCACUCUGCCACUGUAAAGGUUACACUGCAGUGACUGUAUGGGAAAGACAUUAAGACCAAAUGUCUGAUGACUGUGGAAUCUGUGGGAUAGUACAAAGUUUGGCCAGAGGGGACAAAAAAGGAGCAACCUAUGCUGGGCUAUUCAUUCAUGAUUUAACCUUGAAUCAAUUUUGUGGUUUAACUUCUACUAAUGCUGCGAACAAAUUAUUUUCCAAACACUACAGAUGAACUGUCCAUGCUCUGAGGUCCCUGUAUCUAUGGUAAAGACCACAGACUUUUCCCUCAGAAACCAAAAGUUGUCACAUGAAAUCAGGUCAGAAAAUAUACACUGAAGCAUUAAUGAUUAAUAAUAUGACUACAAUUUAUAAAAUUUUUUGUGAAAUUUUCCCUUUUUUUCUUUUUUCUUUUUCAAAAUCUGAUUAUUUUUGGACAGCUCCCUAUUGCUGUCAUGACCCAGAAAGGGGCAACAUGCAGAACCAUUUGAGUUUUUGUAGCUAAAGAACACAGGAGUUUAGACCCAAACCUCUGAAGCUAUGGUUGAUGUUCCUCCUCCCCUCUUCUCAGAAAAAUCACCCCAGAAAGAGGUGUUUUUCUUCAGCUUGAUCAACUUCAUAGACUAAUUCUUUUGAGUGCCUCCACAGUAGCUCUACUAGUGCAACAGAUGGGAUGAUACUGGGACAUUACUGUUGGUGAGAUGAAGGUCAUAUAAACUGGUACUUUUUCUGGAGGAAGACAUACAGAAUCAAGACCUCCAUGUGUGAGAUUUAAUUCAAAGCACGUGUAUGUCUGAUUACAGGCACAUGAAUAUUUUAUAAUCAAUUACAGACAAAAAUAAGAAUUUUAGGUCUUGAUACUUAAUGUACUUUGAGAUUAACACUUCCUACAUUAUUCAAGUGAGAAAUUCUGGAACUCUACUAACCUCUGGCUCACUGCUUCACUUGUACUUGACAGUUCAGCUCACUUAAACAUUUUUGAAUUGUGUUACUAUUUAACAACUCCCAGGACAGCCUGUCUGAGUGUGCUGUAUUUUCCUCUUGGUUUAGGUCUGUUCCAAAGCCCACCAAAGCCUCCGGUUGUCUUUAGAUCAAGCUGUUAGCCUAUAAUGCUUUUAUAACACAACCAUUUCCCUUAUAGGAAAGCCCUGAGGAAUUUAAUACUGAUGAAACAAAUGAAGAACUAUGAAAAAAAUCCUUCUAGAGAAGUUUCUCAAAGAGCCUGUUGUAACUUAACAGAAAAGAGAGAAGCAGGGUUAUUUUCCAGUCUCCUGAUGAAGCUGACUGUUCAAAGCCAUGUGUGGAAACAGCUGCCAACUAGGUCAUCCACCUUUAAUUAGAGCCAAGACAGCAGACGAUCCUAGAAGCAGAGCGCUCUGCAGAGGAUGGAAAACAUCUGAAAGUUGUAACAUGGCAGAGGAAUGAUGAAGCUCUUGGCACUGCUACAGCAGCAUGCAGACUGCUGGGGUAUCCUCCUCCUGCAAGGACUGCAGUCUGUGCAAGCGUAUGUAUCGAUACACACAUCUUAAUUAAGAUAACCCGGAAGUCCAGGAAACGGACAGGCCACAGGAACAGAGCACAGCGGUGCUCAGCAAAACACAUAGCAAUACCUUAAAUAUAUGUAAAUACACCAGAAUAAUCUCUCUCAUCCACCAGUCCUCUCAGUGACAAAGUUGCCAA